CUCAAUCUCUCUCUCUCUCUCUCUCGGGAGAGAUAAAAGGAAAUAAAAAAGACUCUCCACGAAGUCUCCACUUACUCCUCAUAUUCUCUCUCUCCACAUUCUCUCAACGGUAUAAAAAAAGAAUAAAAGAAAACGAAAAAUAAAAAAUGGAGAAACUCUCUCUCUCUCUGCUUUCACUGUUCCUCUUCUUCAACCAAAUAACCCCUUCCCUC
rnacentral:lncRNA from 1 species